GGCCGCCUGGCGAAAUGGCAUCGCGUCUGACUACGAUUGCAAAUUUCCUCAUAAGUGACGUAAUCAGGAGAUUGCAGGUUCGACCCCUGCGGUGGUCA